GCUAUAUAAAACUCCAUAACGCAGCAAUGCGGGAGUCUUUGCUUCUUGGCAAGAAGAGCUUAAGGACAAUUCCAUCCAGGGUGGACUCCGGGAUGCAGUUCUGAGAAAGCAAACAGCACUGACUGAGAACGUGGAGUCUGAAUGUAGACUUUAUUCCUUCUUCACAUGACACGGAGAAGAAUACUCUGCUCUUUGGUAGAUGAGGCUGUCUGUCUUGGGUAACCUGACAGAGGA
rnacentral:lncRNA from 1 species